rnacentral:sRNA from 2 species
AAUUCCAUAUGGCCGAGUCUCAUAAUAGAUGAGAGCGGGGGAACCAUUUCUCUUGGGGUGAAUUUUACAGAAUCAGGCAGGCAUGCAGUCUUGUCAUGCUAUUCUGUGAAUAGGGCGUCUUGACGUGCCCGAAUCCGUCAGCUAACCUCGUAGGCAUGAUCGUCAGGAUAC